CCGGGGUGGAGUAAUGUCUGGGAAACUGCCUGAUGGAGGGGGAUAACUACUGGAAACGGUAGCUAAUACCGCAUAACGUCGCAAGACCAAAGUGGGGGACCUUCGGGCCUCAUGCCAUAAGAUGUGCCCAGAUGGGAUUAGCUAGUAGGUGGGGUAACGGCUCACCUAGGCGACGAUCCCUAGCUGGUCUGAGAGGAUGACCAGCCACACUGGAACUGAGACACGGUCCAG
rnacentral:rRNA from 1 species